rnacentral:rRNA from 1 species
GAGAGUUUGAUCCUGGCUCAGAUUGAACGCUGGCGGCAGGCCUAACACAUGCAAGUCGAGCGGUAGAGAGAAGCUUGCUUCUCUUGAGAGCGGCGGACGGGUGAGUAAUGCCUAGGAAUCUGCCUGGUAGUGGGGGAUAACGUUCGGAAACGGACGCUAAUACCGCAUACGUCCUACGGGAGAAAGCAGGGGACCUUCGGGCCUUGCGCUAUCAGAUGAGCCUAGGUCGGAUUAGCUAGUUGGUGGGGUAAUGGCUCACCAAGGCGACGAUCCGUAACUGGUCUGAGAGGAUGAUCAGUCACACUGGAACUGAGACACGGUCCAGACUCCUACGGGAGGCAGCAGUGGGGAAUAUUGGACAAUGGGCGAAAGCCUGAUCCAGCCAUGCCGCGUGUGUGAAGAAGGUCUUCGGAUUGUAAAGCACUUUAAGUUGGGAGGAAGGGCAGUAAAUUAAUACUUUACUGUUUUGACGUUACCGACAGAAUAAGCACCGGCUAACUCUGUGCCAGCAGCCGCGGUAAUACAGAGGGUGCAAGCGUUAAUCGGAAUUACUGGGCGUAAAGCGCGCGUAGGUGGUUAGUUAAGUUGGAUGUGAAAUCCCCGGGCUCAACCUGGGAACUGCAUUCAAAACUGACUGACUAGAGUAUGGUAGAGGGUGGUGGAAUUUCCUGUGUAGCGGUGAAAUGCGUAGAUAUAGGAAGGAACACCAGUGGCGAAGGCGACCACCUGGACUGAUACUGACACUGAGGUGCGAAAGCGUGGGGAGCAAACAGGAUUAGAUACCCUGGUAGUCCACGCCGUAAACGAUGUCAACUAGCCGUUGGGGAGCCUUGAGCUCUUAGUGGCGCAGCUAACGCAUUAAGUUUGACCGCCUGGGGAGUACGGCCGCAAGGUUAAAACUCAAUGAAUUGACGGGGGCCCCCACAANCGGUGGANCAUGUGGUUUAAUUC